ACUGUGGAAGAAGCUCUAGCGGCGCAUUAAACAGAAAUAAAAAAAAUAUACCAUAUAAAACAGAAAGCAGGCAAUAGAGGCCUUCAACUUAAAGAUGUUUCAAAGUGCAGAAGCGAUGGUUGCGAGCAGCAUAUCUAUGGCUUCAAAAUAACUUAACGGUGAACGCUUCAAUGCAUUCUAUUUUUUAUCAUGGAAACCUCUUCAGACAAAUUGAAGGCGUUUGAAGAAGAGGAGGUACAGGAUCCCGAAAGCUCAUCGAAACAGGAGUGUAUGAAUACAUGCCUUGUCUAUGACUCUUGGAACUAGACGUGUUUCAUCGACAGAAUACAACCUGCCACUCUGCCAAGGCAAUCUUCCCAAGAUGUGGCUCCCAAAGCUGAAUGCAGCAUUCCAGAGGGUCUAUAUUGAGCUCUGUCAAGCUGUAAUAUAACUUUGCCCUUCCCCAAGUCCACCCUUUGCAUUCUAGUCCUCUUGAAAUAAAGGCUAUUUUUAUAUUAAAUAUGCUAGCUAACUUUGUUAACUAUUAAAGUUUACUUUGGUACAAUCUUUU